ACGGGAGGCAGCAGUGGGGAAUAUUGCACAAUGGGCGCAAGCCUGAUGCAGCGAUGCCGCGUGAGGGAAGAAGGUUUUCGGAUUGUAAACCUCUGUCAUCGGGGACGAUAAUGACUGUACCCGAGAAGGAAGCUCCGGCUAACUACGGGCCAGCAGCCGCGGUAAUACGGAGGGAGAGAGCGUUAUCCGGAAUUACUGGGUGUAAAGGGAGUGUAGGCGGGACUGUAAGUCAGAUGUGAAAUAUGCCGGCUCAACUGGCAGACUGCAUUUGAAACUGCGGUUCUUGAGUGAAGUAGCGGUAAGCUGAAUUCCUAGUGUAGCGGUGAAAUGCGUAGAUAUUAGGAGGAACAUCAGUGGCGAACGCGGCUUACUGGGCUUUCACUGACGCUGAGGCUCGAAAGCGUGGGGAGCAAACAGGAUUAGAUACCCUGGUA
rnacentral:rRNA from 1 species